rnacentral:tRNA from 1 species
GGAGGGGUGUCCGAGUUGGCCGAAGGAGCACGACUGGAAAUCGUGUAAGCCCCGUAAAGGCUUCGUGGGUUCGAAUCCCACCCCCUCCG